rnacentral:lncRNA from 1 species
UCCGUAAAGAAGUCUCGAGCUGACGCUAUAGAGAUUGCCUUAGGAGAAGCCAAGACCUCUCUAGAGGAUGCUAAGAAUUCCCUUAAGGGUUGCACAGCUUCAAAAGAGUGAGGUCGAGGCUACAUGCUUGCGGGAUUAGCUGGCAAAAAUCGAAAAGGCAAUACACCAAGCUAGAGAAGAGGCGACCCAAGUGAGGGAGGCCCAAUCUCAAUUAAUGGAAAAGGUUGCUGCUGCCAUGUGUCAUCUCAUUGAAGCUGCCACUACGGAUAUGGAGUCUUUCAAGAAGAGCAAGGACAUCCAUCAGGAGCUGUUAGUG